rnacentral:lncRNA from 1 species
GUAAUUUAGAAAAGACGUGUUUUUUUUGUUAAUUGAGAAAAGGCUUUUAUAACCAAGGGCCGUAUUUUAAAUCGCCAUUCUAACACUUAUAAAACCAAGUAGCGCAGUACUGCUUAACACGUGGGUAACGCUUUACAGAACUAAACUUCUAGACCACUUAUUAAAGACAACAGCAUCUAGAAAUAAUUUGCAGAACUGCACAAAAAGAUUUGGAGGGUUCGUAAAUCGGGUUUCGGCACCAAUCUCUGGCGAGUGUGGCGAUCUGGUCCUGCGAAAUCUGCGUUCAUGUAAAAACAUUUCAGAUUCUCCAUUUCCAGAGCCUCCUUAAAAUCGCAAGAUCUUGCAAGGGAUUCCCUUGUACUUCUGCGAGCCGGGAAUACCUUCGGCUGUUCCAAUAAAACACCCCCCCCCCCCCCCCCCCCCCUCUCCGCCUCAAGCGUCUCUAUUGGGGGAACAACCCCCCCCUCCCUCCUCUCCACUCCGGGCUUGACCGAAAGGCAACUUGCCUCGCAGACUAACGGAGGCGAGGUGAGAGUGCGACGGUAGAGUAACAGAGAAACUAGGCACAUGCAGGACAUACGAUGAUGAACACGACUUCCCAUCCGCAGGACCGAGGGCAUCCCGAGGUCCAGUCGAGAUGCGUGCGCUUUCUCGCCAGGGGAAAGCUGAAAGGAGUCCUUGUGCAGAAGAGCUGGUGGGGAGCGGAGGCGGAGGAGGAUGUGGGGGGGGGAGGGGAGCUGAAGGAUAAAACCCACGCCGUUAGGAAAGCUACGACUUUCAAGGCAGCUGAGCGAGGACGCGCUGAGAAGACAAACAGUCUCGUCUGGAGAAAAGCGUGA